rnacentral:pre_miRNA from 1 species
UACUGCAUCAGGAACUGAUUGGAUAAUAUUCAGGUACCAUCAGUUCCUAAUGCAUUGCC